rnacentral:lncRNA from 1 species
GCUGAUGUUCUCCUCGCCGGCUGCUGCUAUUGGUUUUCCACCGGUGGCCUCGCCUGGUGGCUGCUGGACGGAGAGGAGAAAGAGCGAAGGGAAGAGAGAAAGGAGAAGAGGUAAGGGGAGACAGGAAAAGGGGAAGCCGGCGGAGCCGAUGAGGAAAGGGAGAGAGAGAGGGCGCCGGAUAUGGCAAUGGUCUUCGCCGGAGCAAAGACGGAGGAGGAGGAGCAACUAUGAAGCUGCUGCGGCGCUGCUUGAAGAGGAAGAAGAGAGAAUGAAGA